rnacentral:rRNA from 1 species
UAUUCCCCGUGAACGAGGAAUUCCCAGUAAGCGCGGGUCAUAAGCCCACGUUGAUUACGUCCCUGCCCUUUGUACACACCGCCCGUCGCUACUAUCGAUUGAGCGGUUCAGUGAGGGCAUCGGAUCGGUCGCGGCCUGGGAUUCGCGCCCCGGCGCCCGCGCGCCGAGAAGACGCUCGAACUCGAUCGCUGGAGAAAG